UAAAGUUUAUAUACAUUAAUGUUCAGCUUCCUUUCCAAAUGUAGCUUACAUAUGCUGACUUCUCGCAGUCCUGAAUAAAUAUUUCACUUUCAGCAGACAGUGCCAAAAGAUAAACUGUUUCGCCCACAAUAAGUCAACCAGAAGAAGGUAACCAUUUAGCCAUUUAUCUGCUGCAUCGGCGAGCUGCACCGCACAGCUCUUAUGCCCUUUGUUUUAGUGUAUAAAGAUGAUGUAAAUAUCGCAAUAUGCCGCAGCCGUUUGCAACGGCAACAUAAAGCAAUUAAUUGUUAAGGCUGCUGGCGCUUGUGCAGCUGCAGAUGAUGGAUAUACACAAUGCUAAAUGCGGGCCCUAGCAAAAGGCAUAAAAAAGAGAAAACUUUGUGAUGAUAUAUUCGCAGCAAUAAGCGUACCGAAUUGCAUCACAUUUAAAGCAGAAGAAGAUGCUAGAAUAACAGAUAUAUGUCACAUGACAAACGAGCGGCGUGUUAAUCCCAACUUUCGCCAUCGGCAGGCGCGGCUUGUAGUCCCCGCUAAACUACACUAAUUACUUCCCCUCGUUUCGUAGGGCCGGCUCUAAAAGCCAACCGCAAAAAGCUAAAGCCACAAGCCCUACGAGGAGACGAUUUGGGGCUCCAUCAAGGAGCGUUACAAGCGGCCACAAAUCAAAUGCACACCAAUUACCUGGCGCCAGGGCGCACAAAGCAUAAUCAACUGGCAUAAUUAACAGCUAAAAAUGCAAAAGAGCGGCGUGUGCGAGUGUUUGUGUGGGCGCUGGAGUGUGUAUCAACGAAAAUAUGCUUUUGCACCUAGACCGGCCCUCUGCAAUUUUCACACAUUUUGCGGUGCUACUGCGGGCUGAGCGAGCACCCCUACCGACAUCUCUCGCCUCGGUAUAAACAACAAUAGCAACAAACAACAAGUCGCAAACAACCCGUAGACAGUGGUAAAUUAUAAGUUGCAGAGUCUCGCCAUAAAGUACAGCACAUUACUCAUACGCCACGUGCAUAAAUUUCCACCUUUUACCUACCUGGCCUGAUAAUUAUUUUCCGUUUACAAAAUGGCUGCCAUAUCGGAAAAACAGCCGAGCAACGGCCAUAAUAAACAAUCGCCCAAAUAUAUAAAAAUAUUUGGUCAAUAUUUAAGUCAAAUGACUUAAAUAAAAUUGAUUAAAAAAAAAAAACCCUAGUAUUUUUAGAGAUUAUAUUAAGAGCAUACAAAUAAAAGUCCGUGAAAUCUGGUGAUAUUACUUUAUUAUUAAUUUCGGCUUCCUUUUUAAGCUUUACUUUUAUAUGAAAGUGCUGUAGGUAUUCUGAUUUCGUACAUACAAAUAGAAAAUGAAUUUUGGUUCUUGAAUACGCGGAUCAAAAUUUUGAGGUGAGUGAACUAUAGUGCUGCUAGAAUCUAUGGAGAGCUUUAACAAAUUUGGAAUAUUAUAUUAUUUGCAUAUUAUGCGUUUUACAUUUAAGUUCGAAGAUCAAUGCAAAAAUUGGAAAAUCAAAUAUUUCAUAUUUUUAUCAGACCCUAAACAAUUUCUAAAAAAUUAAAGAAAUUCGAUUAUAAAAAUUGAUUUGUGAAAACAAAGUCAAAUAUUUUUCUUUGGUAGAGUCCCCUGCAAUUGCUCGCUUGAAUCAAUAUUUCGACAUAACUCUGGGCAUUCAAAUGAAUUUAUGGCCAAUUUAUAGCUCUUCCUCUGUUUAUAGCCUACU